AUGGUCGAUACAGUGGGCACGGUGACCAAGAUUGUGGAAGUUGCGCUAAAGAUCAAGAACGCUGCAGACAAGGUGAAGCAGAACGAGCAUAUCUGCAAGCAAAUAAAAAGUCGCGUCGAGGUACUCAGUAAUACGAUGUCGCAGUACCAGAAUAACACGGAGCUAAUGAACAGCUUGGAGGUGAGAGCCGCACUUGAGGCGUUGGACCAGAUCCUUGGUGAGGCCUUGAAGCUCGUCACCGAUUGCCAGGAGACCAACGUUGUGCGCCUUUUCUACAACUCUAGGCACCUGUCCCAACAGUUGAUCCAGGUGGAACAACGUAUAUCCAAUAAGAACAUGGACGCUAUGUUUGCCAUCAUGGCCUUCCUUUUACCUAAGCCAUUCAGUUUUCAUCCUCCACCCUCACAGUUGAAGGGGAUGGCCGAAACGUUGCCUGGAGGAGUAGCAGAGAACGGCAAGCUACCACGCCUUCCUGGAAUUCCUUUACCAAGUGACAUAUCAACCAUAGUCACCGAAAGUUUGGGCAGCCCGGGAAGUUCAGGGGUACAAGAACAAACUUCAGACGGUCCUGAUGGGUUGCUUGUUUCUGAUGGAUCAAGUUCUGUUAGGAACAAGACAAGCCAUCCAGAAAUAACUAAUAAUGGAUGUAUAUACCACCGGAUGCAGAAUCCUACCACAAGGCUGAAAGGGUAG
rnacentral:rRNA from 1 species